rnacentral:rRNA from 1 species
UACGAAGGGGCUAGGCGUUGCUCGGAAUCACUGGGCGUAAAGCGCACGUAGGCGGAUUGCUAAGUCAGGGGUGAAAUCCUGGAGCUCAACUCCAGAACUGCCCUUGAUACUGGCGGUCUCGAGUCCGGGAGAGGUGAGUGGAACUGCGAGUGUAGAGGUGAAAUUCGUAGAUAUUCGCAAGAACACCAGUGGCGAAGGCGGCUCACUGGCCCGGUACUGACGCUGAGGUGCGAAAGCGUGGGGAGCAAACAGGG